UUAGAUACCCUGCUAUACUUAGCUGAAAAUUUUUAUACCUGAUUAGUAAACAGUUAUGUUCUCGAAAAUUAAAGAAUUUGGCGGCAUUUCAGUCUAGUUAGAGGAACCUGUCCUAUAAACGAUAAACCACGUAAAAUUUUACUUUCUCUUGUUUAUUCAGUUAGUAUACCGUCAUUAUUAGAUAAGCUUUACAAGGAUUUAUCUUAAUAGGCUCUCCUAGUAUAUUAGAUCAGGGUGCUGCCGAUGGGGAAGAAGAGAUGGGUUACAAUAACAUUAAGUUAUAACGAAUUGUGAAAUGAAAUUUUCAAUUGAAGGCGGAUUUAAUAGUAAUUAGGUUGUAGUAAGGCCUAGUGAUAAUAGUUCUGAAGUGUGUACAUAUCGCCCCCGUCGCUA
rnacentral:rRNA from 1 species